CCUACGGGAGGCAGCAGUGAGGAAUAUUGGUCAAUGGACGGAAGUCUGAACCAGCCAUGCCGCGUGCAGGAAGACGGCUCUAUGAGUUGUAAACUGCUUUUGUACAAGGGUAAACCUGAAUACGUGUAUUCAGCUGAACGUACUGUACGAAUAAGGAUCGGCUAACUCCGUGCCAGCAGCCGCGGUAAUCCGGAGGAUCCAAGCGUUAUCCGGAUUUAUUGGGUUUAAAGGGUGCGUAGGCGGAUUGCUAAGUUAGAGGUUAAAUGUUCGAGCUUAACUCGUGAACUGCCUCUGAUACUGUUGAUCUAGAGAGUAGAUGCGGUAGGCGGAAUUUAUGGUGUAGCGGUGAAAUGCUUAGAGAUCAUACAGAACACCGAUUGCGAAGGCAGCUUACCAAUCUAUAUCUGACGUUGAGGCACGAAAGCGUGGGGAGCAAACAGGAUUAGAUACCCCGGUAGUC
rnacentral:rRNA from 1 species